UGAGUGUGAUUUUCAGUUUACCUA
rnacentral:piRNA from 1 species